rnacentral:rRNA from 1 species
UACGGGGGGAGCAAGCGUUGUUCGGAUUUACUGGGCGUAAAGGGCGCGUAGGCGGUCGUGACAAGUCACUUGUGAAAUCUCCGGGCUUAACCCGGAACGGUCAGCCGAUACUGCAGGGCUAGAGUGCAGAAGGGGCAACUGGGAAUUCUCGGUGUAGCGGUGAAAUGCGUAGGAUAAUCGAGAGGAACACCUGCGGCGAAGGCGGGUUGCUGGGCUGACACUGACGCUGAAGUGCGAAAGCUAGGGGAGCGAACGGG